rnacentral:rRNA from 1 species
UACGUAGGGUGCAAGCGUUGUCCGGAAUUAUUGGGCGUAAAGGGCUCGUAGGCGGUCUGUCACGUCGGGAGUGAAAACUCGGGGCUUAACCCCGAGCCUGCUUCCGAUACGGGCAGACUAGAGGUAUGCAGGGGAGAAUGGAAUUCCUGGUGUAGCGGUGAAAUGCGCAGAUAUCAGGAGGAACACCGGUGGCGAAGGCGGUUCUCUGGGCAUUACCUGACACUGAGGCACGAAGGCCAGGGGAGCAAACGGG